AAGGGAGAUUAGUGCAUGGUACAGGUCUGAGAUAAAGGCUGGGAAAAUGGGUUUCCAUUGGCUGAAGUUUAUGGAGGGAUGAAGGCCAGCCAGGACCGAAUGACCGAGGCUUUAAGGGACAUAGGGCCCGAUGCACCGGUGUGUGCUGCUGGACGGGUAAGUGCAACAUUCAGGCAUCGGCCAAAAACUAGCGUUUCUCCAGUCAAUGUAUAUUCACGUUUACAAAGCCAAAUUGAACACAAGCGAUGUUGGAUAAACGUCUCCGCAGAGUGAAGUUAAGCCAUGACUCUAGAUUAACACCGAGAGCAGAGUUGGCAGGAAGCAGAACGCUCUGUGCAUUGAAGGCACCUCGUCGUGUGAACUCAGCCGCGCUGUGCAGGCUCACACGUGGAGGGUGCUCGCCAGCAAAAGGAGCUGAAUUGCGGAUGACCAGAGGUACACACGCUUUUGCGGGAGUGAUCUUUAAGGGAGAAGAACGCGAAAGGGGUUGAUCUGGUGCUGUUAGUGUGAGCGGUGCAGGAGGAAAGUGCGGGGGUGAUGGGAAUUGAGCGAAGAACAACAACAUACCGGAAGCAACGGGAACCAGAUGAAGGUGUACAGUAGAGAGAAUACAGACCGGAUGCAUCACCGCCUGUUUGGCAACUUGAAUACCCAAGAAUGAAAGAGACUGCAGAGAGUGGCAGAUACUGUCCUGUCCAUCUCAGGACAAUUUUACAGAGGCCAAUUCACAUGCACAACCCACGCGUCUUUACGAUGUGGAAGCAAAGCAGAGAACCCGGAGGAUACCCAUGCAGAAUGUGCUAACUUCACACAGAGAACAUUUGUGGUGAGGAUGGAACCUGGGUCACUGGCGUUGAGAAGCAGCAGCUCCACCAGCUGCACUACUGUGCUGCUCCAAAAGUAUUUAUUUCUAAAUUAACUCUGCUGAGUUAAGAUAAAUGUUUAUUCUUCUUAGUGUUCUUAGGAUCUUUAAGUAUUUUAGAUAUGGUUCAAAUUUUCACAAGCAUUUUUAAAUAACAUUUUGUGAACCACUGAUCAUGGGAGGGAUAUUUAUCUCAAAUGUAUGGAUGCAUUUUGGCCAGAGUACUGGGAACAAAGUCACACUCUUCUUUGAGUAGUGCAAUGGAAUAUUUUGUUCACCUGAGUCAGCAUAUGAGCUUUUGAUUUAAUGUUGGAUUUGAAAGUUAUUCCCUAAAUCACCUAAGAUCUGUACUGGAGCCCCCGCUAAGAUUUUGAACACAAGUCUCUAGUAAUGAACGUGACCUCAUAGUUUUCUAGCUCUGCAUUAUGAAUGCCACCAACUGACCAAGGGCUUGCACUUAAGAAGAUUUAUCUGAUACAGGAAGAGAAGUGGCAGACAGUUCCAGAGGCAAUACUGGUGGAAAGUUCGUUAGCCCACCAAAAUUCAUCCAGAAAGAUGUGUAGACCUGGUGCAGUUUCUGAGACUUUCCCUGGAGCUCAGUUAUGUUUCCAGCUGUGGCAGCUGAGAACCUCCAAAGCUUCAUCACUGAAUGGCAAUCAUUGGCUGCGCUCCAAAGACAAUGAAAAAAGGACGCGAAUAUAUUGUUCCUUCCAUUUCUUCAGGACAUUGCAAAAUGCAAAUAGUUCGGAAAAUGUUAGAGAAACCAACCACAAUUCUCAACUUUGACAGCAAAAGCUCAUGGGAACCAAAUGUACUUUUGCCAGAUUAAUUCAUUUGGUCCAUUCUCCUUUCACUUUAAAGCAUGUUAAAGAGCCACAUUGCCCGGGCUGCUCAAGUUUUACAGUUUUGCAGUCCUCCUCCACAGAAGGACAUCAGAUUUAAUUAAAUCAGUGGAAUCCCCAGUGUGUUCUUAAUUGUAGCCAAGUAUUGUGUUCAGUUCUGGGCACCAUGUUAUAGGAAAGAUGUUGUCAAGCUGGAAAGGGUAGAGAAGAUUUACUAGAAUGUUGCCAGGACUAGAGGGUCUGAGCUAUAGGGAAAGGUUGAGUAGGCUGGAACUCUAUUUCUUGGAUAUGAGGGGUAACAUUUUUACACAAAGGGUGAUGGAUGUAUGGAACAAGUUGCCAGAGGAGGUAGUCGAGGCAGGGACUAUCCCAACAUUUAAGAAACAGUUAGACAGUUACAUGGAUCAGACAAGUUUGGAGGGAUAUAGACGAAACGCGGGCAGGUGGGACUAGUGGAGCUGGGACAUGUUGGCCGUAGUGGAAAAGUUGGGCUGAAGGGCCCGUUUCCAUGCUGUAUUGCCCUGUGACUAUGACUAAGUAAUGCACAAGUCCUAACUAAGAAUCAGUCAACUUAAUGAAAUACAACGAUAUCUAUUCUCAAACAUGUGGACUGUUUUCAAUGAUAAGGGCAGCUUCUUCAUGGUGAUUCAACUAUACUGUGGACUGCCUGGAUAAUUCUAUAUCUUAUUCCUGUAUCCCAGCUCCAGACCAAGAUCAAGAGCAAAAGCAAAAGGCUUGGUAGCUGUUGGAAGGCACUAUCCAUGGCUAUAGAAAAAUGAUAGAUUUAUGGACAUUGUUAACUGGUCAUUUGCAUUAAAAUGAUUUUGUCAUGAAGCAUUGAAACAAAAUUGAGAGCUCUUUGAAGAUGGCAGAAUGAGGAAAAGAAAAUGUAACACGGUCUUGUACAAAACUAGGUGUCUAAAAUUCUCUCAUAGGUACAUGGCACAAUAUAAUUUCUUCAACGUGGGUUUGGGAACUUCUCGAAGUCCAUAAUUUUUGUUUUGAAAUAGGAGGGUGACACGGUGACACAGCGGAAGAGUUGCUGCCUUACAGCGCUUGCAGUGCCAGGUAACCGGGUUUGAUCCUGACUACGGGAGCUGUCUGUACGGAGUUUGUAUGUUCUCCCCGUAACCUGCGUGGGUUUUCUCCGAAGUCUUUGGUUUUCUCCUACACUCCAAAGACGUACAGCUACAGUUAAAUCCUGGAGAAUUGCCAUUCCUCAGCAGCACUUGAAUCCAAUGUCAGUGCAUUGUCAGAAAAAAUGUUUACGAAAGAACUGCAGAUGCUGGAAGGUUGACAAAAAAUGCUGGAGAAACUGAACGGGUGAGGCAGUAUCUAUGAAGAGAAGGAAUAGGCGACGUUUCGGAUCUCUUGCCAGCACAACAAUCCAUGCCCGUGACAGUUCCUCUGUCUGUUCCAUCUUCGCCUGCGCCACAGUCUCCUGCUUCGACCUCAGAGGCGUUGGUCCACUCCCCCACGGUGGUGAAAUCACCAACUUUGUCCCCGGAGAAGAGGAAUGGAGAUGGCAUCUAUUGUACACGUGCCGGUCGUGUUAGCAAGCUGGUCGUGAAGUAUCUGGACUAUGUUUGACUUUACAUAUGUCUGUCCUCGGUUGUGAUAUUUGCUUUGCUUAGUUAUGGGUGUACAGUGCUAUUGAUUCUUUAAGAGGGUGGAUGUAGGUUGGUGGCUCAUGCUAUGUCAUGCUUUUGUAGUUACGCCCACUAGCUUAUUAGCGUCAUGGUCUACUGCACUCUGCAGUCUAAAGUGAUCUCUCAAGUGAGACUUGUAGUUGUUUAUUCUAAAUAAACAGUGUAUAACCU